CAAAAUGCUUGGAAGAGCCAAACUCUACAGCUAAAAAUGUUCCUACAGGAGCAACUCCUUUCGUUCUGUCAUCAGAGGACAAAGAUAUUGUAAUGGAAGGUCCGAUCGAGUCGCACGAUGUCUCCGAGAAUGCCGAAAGAGACGAUUCACACAUUCGGCCUGAAGGCGUAGCAAAUCUAGGAUUUUUUGAAUCUGAAAUAGAUGGACGUGUCACCACACAAAACGCAGACAAUGUUUGUGUCCUGGUCAUUCACUACGAGUUCAAAAAUGAUCCUGAAUAUUUCCGAAAGGGAGACGCCUGUGACGUAGAAAACCUCAAGACUUCCUUCGGGAAAAACCGGAAUUGCAAUUUCCGUAACUUACCGUCACCGAACAAAGACACUUUACUCCAACUUCUUGGCGAUCAAGAAAGG